AGCGAACGCUGGCGGCAGGCUUAACACAUGCAAGUCGAGCGGGCAUCCUUGUGGUGUCAGCGGCAGACGGGUGAGUAACGCGUGGGAACGUGCCCUUCGGUUCGGAAUAACUCAGGGAAACUGGAGCUAAUACCGGAUACGUGCGAGAGCAGAAAGGUUUAUCUGCCGAAGGAUCGGCCCGCGUCUGAUUAGUUAGUUGGGGAGGUUAUGGCUCACCAAGGCGACGAGCAGUAGCUGGUCUGAGAGGAUGAUCAGCCACACUGGGACUGGGACCCGGCCCAGACUCCUACGGGAGGCAGCAGUGGGGAAUAUUGGACAGUGGGGGCAACCCUGAUCCAGCCAUGCCGCGUGAGUGAUGACGGCCUUAGGGUUGUAAAGCUCUUUUCUUCGGGACGAUAAUGACGGUACCGGAGGAAUAAGCCCCGGCUAACUUCGUG
rnacentral:rRNA from 1 species